rnacentral:rRNA from 1 species
AACGAACGCUGGCGGCAGGCUUAACACAUGCAAGUCGAACGCCCCGCAAGGGGAGUGGCAGACGGGUGAGUAACACGUGGGAACCUUCCCUAUAGUACGGAAUAGCCCAGGGAAACUUGGAGUAAUACCGUAUACGCCCGAAAGAGGUAAGAAGUUCGCUAUGGGAUUGGCCCGCGUAGGACUAGAGAGGUGGUGAGGUAGUGGGUCACCAAGGAGACGAUCCUUAGCUGGUUUGAUAGAACGAACAGCCACACUGGGACUGAGACAGGGCCCGGAGUCAUACGUGAGGGUGCAGAUAAAACUAUUGGAGAAACGGCGCAAGAUUGAUGGAGCGAUGCCGAGUGUGAUGUGAUUGCCUUAGGGUUGUAUAGCUCUUUUGGGGGAGGCGUUAAUGACGGUACCCGGAGAAUAAGCCCCGGCUAACUUCGUG